AUGAACGCUAGCGGCAGGCCUAACACCUGCCAGUCGAGGGAGAAGCCCUUUCGGGGGCAGAAACCGGCGCACGGGUGCGUAACGCGUAUGCAACCUACCUUUCACAGGGGGAUAGCCCGAAGAAAUUUGGAUUAAUACCCCAUAAUAUUAUUGGAUGGCAUCAUUUGAUAAUUAAAACUGCGGUGGUGAAAGAUGGGCAUGCGUCCUAUUAGCUAGUUGGAGUGGUAACGGCACCCCAAGGCUACGAUAGGUAGGGGUCCUGAGAGGGAGAUCCCCCACACUGGUACUGAGACAGGGACCAGACUCCUACGGGAGGCAGCAGUGAGGAAUAUUGGUCAAUGGUCGGAAGACUGAACCAGCCAUGCCGCGUGCAGGAAGAAUGCCUUAUGGGUUGUAAACUGCUUUUAUAUGGGAAGAAUAAGGCGUACGUGUACGUUGAUGACGGUACCAUAUGAAUAAGCAUCGGCUAACUCCGUG
rnacentral:rRNA from 1 species